rfam:Ornithorhynchus anatinus chromosome 4, whole genome shotgun sequence.
CCCCUAUCAGAAUCAUACCUGGAGAGUUUCCAGUACUCUACCAGUCUCAGCUGUGGGAGGGAGAGUCAAGCAGAGGCAUAUCCAUUCCCUUCCUAGCUUGGGCAGUGGCUAGCAAGUGGAAGACAAUCUGCUACAAGU